rnacentral:rRNA from 1 species
GAUGAACGCUGGCGGCGUGCCUAAUACAUGCAAGUCGAGCGAACAGAUGAGGAGCUUGCUCCUCUGACGUUAGCGGCGGACGGGUGAGUAACACGUGGAUAACCUACCUAUAAGACUGGGAUAACUUCGGGAAACCGGAGCUAAUACCGGAUAAUAUAUUGCACCGCAUGGUUCAAUAGUGAAAGACGGUUUUGCUGUCACUUAUAGAUGGAUCCGCGCCGCAUUAGCUAGUUGGUAAGGUAACGGCUUACCAAGGCAACGAUGCGUAGCCGACCUGAGAGAGUGAUCGGCCACCCUGGAACUGAAACACGGUCCAGACUCCUACGGGAGGCAGCAGUAGGGAAUCUUCCGCAAUGGGCGAAAGCCUGACGGAGCAACGCCGCGUGAGUGAUGAAGGUCUUCGGAUCGUAAAACUCUGUUAUUAGGGAAGAACAAAUGUGUAAGUAACUAUGCACGUCUUGACGGUACCGAAUCAGAAAGCCACGGCUAACUACGUG